GACGAACGCUGGCGGCGUGCUUAACACAUGCAAGUCGAACGGUGACCCAGGGCUUGCCCUGGCGAUCAGUGGCGAACGGGUGAGUAACACGUGGGCAACCUGCCCCUGACUUCGGGAUAACUCCUCGAAAGAGGUGCUAAUACCGAAUACGACCACUUCGGGCAUCCGAUGGUGGUGGAAAGAAUUUUGGUCAGGGAUGGGCCCGCGGCCUAUCAGCUUGUUGGUGGGGUAACGGCCCACCAAGGCGACGACGGGUAGCCGGCCUGAGAGGGCGACCGGCCACACUGGGACUGAGACACGGCCCAGACUCCUACGGGAGGCAGCAGUGGGGAAUAUUGCGCAAUGGGCGAAAGCCUGACGCAGCGACGCCGCGUGAGGGACGAAGGCCUUCGGGUUGUAAACCUCUUUCAGCAGGGACGAAGCGAAAGUGACUGUACCUGCAGAAGAAGCACCGGCUAACUACGUG
rnacentral:rRNA from 1 species